rnacentral:tRNA from 1 species
GAUUAGCUCAGCUGGAUAGAGCGUUGGCCUCCGGAGCCAAAGGUCGCAGGUUCGAAUCCUGCAUCGU